rnacentral:rRNA from 1 species
GACGAACGCUGGCGGCGUGCUUAACACAUGCAAGUCGAACGGUGAAGGGACCGGUUUUUGCUGGUUCUGGAUGAGUGGCGAACGGGUGAGUAACACGUGAGUAACCUGCCCCCUUCUUCUGGAUAACCGCAUGAAAGUGUGGCUAAUACGGGAUAUUCUGCGCCUGCUGCAUGGUGGGUGUGGGAAAGAUAUUGUUUCGGUGGGGGAUGGGCUCGCGGCCUAUCAGCUUGUUGGUGGGGUGAUGGCCUACCAAGGCGGUGACGGGUAGCUGGCCUGAGAGGGUGGACGGUCACACUGGGACUGAGACACGGCCCAGACUCCUACGGGAGGCAGCAGUGGGGAAUAUUGCACAAUGGGCGCAAGCCUGAUGCAGCGACGCCGCGUGAGAGAUGGAGGCCUUCGGGUUGUGAACCUCUUUCGCUCAUGGUCAAGCCGCAACAAUGGUUGUGGUGAGGGUAGUGGGUAAAGAAGCGCCGGCUAACUACGUG